rnacentral:rRNA from 1 species
UACGUAGGAGGCGAGCGUUUGUCCGGAAUUAUUGGGCGUAAAGAGCUCGUAGGCGGUUUGUCGCGUCUGUCGUGAAAGUCCGGGGCUUAACCCCGGAUCUGCGGUGGGUACGGGCAGACUAGAGUGCAGUAGGGGAGACUGGAAUUCCUGGUGUAGCGGUGGAAUGCGCAGAUAUCAGGAGGAACACGGAUGGCGAAGGCAGGUCUCUGGGCUGUAACUGACGCUGAGGAGCGAAAGCAUGGGGGAGCGAACAGG